rnacentral:rRNA from 1 species
AAGGCAGCAGGCACGCAAAUUACCCACUCCCGGCACGGGGAGGUAGUGACAAAAAAUAACAGAUACGGGACUCAUCCGAGGCCCCGUAAUCGGAAUGAGAACACCCUAAAUCCUUUAACGAGGAUCUAUUGGAGGGCAAGUCUGGUGCCAGCAGCCGCGGUAAUUCCAGCUCCAAUAGCGUAUAUUAAAGUUGUUGCGGUUAAAAAGCUCGUAGUUGGUUCUGCGUGCCACGCUGUCGGUUCACCGCCUGUCGGUGCAACUGGCAUGCCGUGGCAUGUCCUGUCGGUGGCCGACAGGCUUCGCGGCGCGCCCUAUGCGUUCACGCGUGUAGGUCGUCGCGCCACGUCGUCCUUGUAGGCCGGCUCAAUCCUACCGCGGUGCUCUUUGCCGAGUGUCGAGGUAGGCCGACACUGUUUACUUUGAACAAAUUAGAGUGCUUCAAGCAGGCUCUGAAAGCAGCCUGAAUAGUGGUGCAUGGAAUAAUGGAACAGGACCUUGGUUCUAUUUUGUUGGUUUUCGGAAUCCAAGGUAAUGAUCAAUAAGGACAGGCGGGGGCAUUCGUAUUGCGACGUUAGACUUGGCAAAUGCUUUCGCGGUGAAAUUCUUGGAUCGUCGCAAGACGCACUAGAGCGAAAGCAUUUGCCAAGUAUGUCUUAAUUGAUCAAGAACGAAAGUUAGAGGUUCGAAGGCGAUCAGAUACCGCCCUAGUUCUAACCAUAAACGAUGCCAGCCAGCGAUCCGCCGAUGUUCCUCCGAUGACUCGGCGGGGAGCUUUCCCCGGGAAACCAAAGCUUUUGGGUUCCGGGGGAAGUAUGGUUGCAAAGCUGAAACUUAAAGGAAUUGACGGAAGGGCACCACCAGGAGUGGAGCCUGCGGCUUAAUUUGACUCAACACGGGAAACCUCACCAGGCCCGGACAUUGGAAGGAUUGACAGAUCGAUAGCUCUUUCUCGAUUCAGUGGGUACGUGGUGCAUGGCCGUUCUUAGUUGGUGGACUGAUUUGUCUGGUUAAUUCCGAUAACGAACGAGACUCUGACCUAUUAACUAGGCGUUUCCGGUAUAUAUACCUACCGGCGAGAUUUAUUCUUGCUU